CUACGUCUGAUUCAUCAACGUGUUCUUAAACAGCAGAAAUGUUCGCAGCUGUGUUCUUAAGUUGAUGAAUCCCAUUUCCUCGAAAACUGAAAGCGUGUGCCGGUGAGCCUAAUUAACAUAUGAUUAGCAUACGUAACAGCCCAUCAAUGUCCAUACAAGGGCAUGGAACUGCAUUGCUGUGUGCAGACAUUAAGAGGAAA